rnacentral:rRNA from 1 species
UGGGGAAUUUUGCGCAAUGGGCGAAAGCCUGACGCAGCAACGCCGCGUGGAGGAUGAAGGUCUUCGGAUCGUAAACUCCUGUCAGUGGGGACGAAUGCUUCGAAAGAAGUUUGACUGUACCCGCUGAGGAAGCCACGGCUAACUCCGUGCCAGCAGCCGCGGUAAUACGGAGGUGGCAAGCGUUGUUCGGAAUUACUGGGCGUAAAGGGCGCGUAGGCGGUUUUGCAAGUCGGAUGUGAAAGCCCCGGGCUUAACUCGGGAAUUGCAUCUGAAACUGCUUAACUUGAGUCCUGGAUGGGGUAGUGGAAUUCCCAGUGUAGCGGUGAAAUGCGUAGAUAUUGGGAGGAACACCUGCGGCGAAGGCGGCUACCUGGACAGUGACUGACGCUGAGGCGCGAAAGCUAGGGGAGCGAACGG